CCUUUAAUGGCUGGUGUUCUAACGUGGACCCGUAAUCCGGGUUGCGGACAGUGUCUGGUGGGUAGUUUGACUGGGGCGGUCUCCUCCUAAAGAGUAACGGAGGAGCACGAAGGUUAGCUAAUCCUGGUCGGACAUCAGGAGGUUAGUGCAAAGGCAUAAGCUAGCUUGACUGCGAGAGUGACGGCUCGAGCAGGUGCGAAAGCAGGUCUUAGUGAUCCGGUGGUUCUGAAUGGAAGGGCCAUCGCUCAACGGAUAAAAGGUACUCCGGGGAUAACAGGCUGAUACCGCCCAAGAGUUCAUAUCGACGGCGGUGUUUGGCACCUCGAUGUCGGCUCAUCACAUCCUGGGGCUGAAGUAGGUCCCAAGGGUAUGGCUGUUCGCCAUUUAAAGUGGUACGCGAGCUGGGUUUAGAACGUCGUGAGACAGUUCGGUCCCUAUCUGCCGUGGGCGCUGGAGAAUUGAGGGGGGCUGCUCCUAGUACGAGAGGACCGGAGUGGACGCAUCACUGGUGUUCGGGUUGUCAUGCCAAUGGCAUUGCCCGGUAGCUAAAUGCGGAAGAGAUAAGUGCUGAAAGCAUCUAAGCACGAAACUUGCCCCGAGAUGAGUUCUCCCUGAGACU
rnacentral:rRNA from 1 species